rnacentral:rRNA from 1 species
AUGCACUCUGCAUGGAUUAGACUGAGUAAAGUGCCAGACUGCUUUAGACACUUCUUUGGAAUUUGUGAAGUUGCUGCAGCAGUGGGACCUGUGCUGGAGAUUGAUAUGGACACCAUCAAUGAGGAGAAAGUCAGAGCCAUAUGUGGGAUCAGAGAUGUGGAAAAAGUUCCCUCUCAUGUGGAAAUCACUUCCCCUGAUUUGCUCAUGUUCAGAAUAGGGACAGAAGUGGAAAAAGUGGUGGAAAUUGGAUGGUAUAAAGAGGAAAAAAGGAAAAAUGAUAAUAUCAAUGACUUGGAUAACAAAGAUGAUGAGGAAGAAAAAAGAAAGAAAGUUAGAGUGGAAGAUAAAGAUCACAAGGGCAUUACUCUUGGAUGCUUAUCUCUCGGACAAAGUGAGGAGAUAGAUGAGAAAUUGAGAAAGUUAAAGCUCAAGUGGAAGAGAACAUACUACAAUGGCAAAAUGAGAUGA